rnacentral:rRNA from 1 species
GACAGAGGGUGCGAACGUUGUUCGGAAUUACUGGGCGUAAAGCGCAUGUAGGCGGCAGCGCAAGUCGGGCGUGAAAUCCCACGGCUCAACCGUGGAAGUGCACUCGAAACUGCGCAGCUAGAGUCCUGGAGAGGAAGGUGGAAUGCUUGGUGUAGAGGUGAAAUUCGUAGAGAUGCGGAGGAACACCGAUGGCGAAGGCAGCCCCCUGGGCCAACACUGACGCUCCAGGCACGAAAGCGUGGGGAGCAAACGAGGAU